AUGGUCUUAGCUUGCUAAGGCUGAUGGCGACCGGCGCACGGGUGAGUAACACGUAUCCAACCUGCCGUCUACUCUUGGCCAGCCUUCUGAAAGGAAGAUUAAUCCAGGAUGGGAUCAUGAGUUCACAUGUCCGCAUGAUUAAAGGUAUUUUCCGGUAGACGAUGGGGAUGCGUUCCAUUAGAUAGUAGGCGGGGUAACGGCCCACCUAGUCAACGAUGGAUAGGGGUUCUGAGAGGAAGGUCCCCCACAUUGGAACUGAGACACGGUCCAAACUCCUACGGGAGGCAGCAGUGAGGAAUAUUGGUCAAUGGGCGAUGGCCUGAACCAGCCAAGUAGCGUGAAGGAUGACUGCCCUAUGGGUUGUAAACUUCUUUUAUAAAGGAAUAAAGUCGGGUAUGCAUACCCGUUUGCAUGUACUUUAUGAAUAAGGAUCGGCUAACUCCGUGCCAGCAGCCGCGGUAAUACGGGGGAUCCGAGCGUUAUCCGGAUUUAUUGGGUUUAAAGGGAGCGUAGAUGGAUGUUUAAGUCAGUUGUGAAAGUUUGCGGCUCAACCGUAAAAUUGCAGUUGAUACUGGAUGUCUUGAGUGCAGUUGAGGCAGGCGGAAUUCGUGGUGUAGCGGUGAAAUGCUUAGAUAUCACGAAGAACUCCGAUUGCGAAGGCAGCCUGCUAAGCUGCAACUGACAUUGAG
rnacentral:rRNA from 1 species